rnacentral:tRNA from 1 species
UGCAUCGGCUGGGAAUCGAACCCGGGCCGCCCGCGUGGCAGGCGAGGAUCAUACAACUGAACCACCGAUGG